GCUGGGGAUUGUGUGAUCUGUACCAGGAUAGCAAUUAUUUCAUCUUACUUGUUGAGGGCCUGCUUGGGGCAAUAACAAGAAGCUGCUGUCCGCCGGCUUUUCCGAACUAUGAAGAAGUCGCAACGAAAUACAGGCACUGGUGUGUUUGCACCGGAGACUCAGUAUCGAUGAAAGGUUAAGUAAGAAGAAGACAAAGUACUUCCAUUCUUUUGUCAGUGUCGGUUUUAUACAAAGGUCUGCCAAAGCCAUAUCGGCCACAGAAUAGGACAUUGAGCUUUAUAUAAUGUUAGAUUGACGGUUGAGGGAAUCAAGGAUAGCAGGUUUGAUUGAAGCUGGAUAGCAGGAAGAACUCUUGCAAUGGCGGCAUCUUUGUAUCUCUUUCAUCGUUUAGAAGGUUGACCCUCUUGUUUUGGUGCAUGUUCAAUUGUCUCAAAAGCAACUGUGUGUGGUUUGGGCAUCAAGUCGGGAUUGGAGCGGAAGUUUUAGCAGAGCCGCGGUAGGUUUAGGGG
rnacentral:sRNA from 1 species